UACGAAGGGGGCUAGCGUUGUUCGGGAUUACUGGGCGUAAAGCGCACGUAGGCGGAUUGUUAAGUUAGGGGUGAAAUCCCAGGGCUCAACCCUGGAACUGCCUUUAAUACUGGCAAUCUCGAGUCCGAGAGAGGUGAGUGGAAUUCCGAGUGUAGAGGUGAAAUUCGUAGAUAUCGGGAGGAACACCUGUGGCGAAGGCGGCCAACUGGACGAAUACUGACGCUGAGACACGAAAGCGUGGGGAGCAAACAGG
rnacentral:rRNA from 1 species